rnacentral:tRNA from 1 species
GGGGUUGUAACUCAAUUGGUUAGAGUGUCUGCUUUGCAAGCAGGAAGUUACGAGUUCAAAUCUCGUCAUCUCCA